UACGGGGGGGGCAAGCGUUGUUCGGAAUUACUGGGCGUAAAGGGCUCGUAGGUGGCCAACUAAGUCAGACGUGAAAUCCCUCGGCUUAACCGGGGAACUGCGUCUGAUACUGGAUGGCUUGAGUUUGGGAGAGGGAUGCGGAAUUCCAGGUGUAGCGGUGAAAUGCGUAGAUAUCAGGAGGAACACCGGUGGCGAAGGCGGGUCUCUGGGCCGAUACUGACGCUGAGGAGCGAAAGCGUGGGGAGCGAACAGG
rnacentral:rRNA from 1 species